rnacentral:rRNA from 1 species
GGUUAAGCGACCAAGCGUACACGGUGGAUGCCCUGGCAGUCAGAGGCGAUGAAGGACGUGCUAAUCUGCGAAAAGCGCCGGCGAGGUGAUAUGAACCCUUGACCCGGCGAUGUCCGAAUGGGGAAACCCGGUGCACUACGGUGCAUCAUCGUUUGAUGAAUACAUAGUCAAACGAGGCGAACCGGGGGAACUGAAACAUCUAAGUACCCCGAGGAAAAGAAAUCAACCGAGAUUCCCCCAGUAGCGGCGAGCGAACGGGGAGGAGCCCAGAGCCUGAAUCAGCUUGUGUGUUAGUGGAAGCGUCUGGAAAGUCGCACGGUACAGGGUGAAAGUCCCGUACACGAAAAUGCACAGGCUGUGAGCUCGAUGAGUAGGGCGGGACACGUGGUAUCCUGUCUGAAUAUGGGGGGACCAUCCUCCAAGGCUAAAUACUCCUGACUGACCGAUAGUGAACCAGUACCGUGAGGGAAAGGCGAAAAGAACCCCGGCGAGGGGAGUGAAAAAGAACCUGAAACCGUGUACGUACAAGCAGUGGGAGCCUCUUU